rnacentral:misc_RNA from 1 species
AUUCCUCUUCUUACUCCUCCAAUUUCUCUCAGCCUUCUUCUCUCUUUCCUUGUCUUUCUCUCUCCCUCUCUCUCUGUCUCCAGAAUUUACAUUCCUUAUCUGGGUUUGCUUCAUCUUGACCUGAAUUGGAUUCAAAUUGUUUUGGCAUGGCUACAUAUAAGCCAAAGAACAUCCUCAUUACUGGGGCUGCUGGCUUUAUCGCAUCCCAUGUUUGCAACCGGCUCAUCCGUAACUACUCUGAUUACAAAAUUGUUGUCCUUGACAAGCUUGAUUAUUGUUCAAACCUGAAAAACCUCCUCCCUUCUAAAUCAUGCCCCAACUUUAAGUUUGUCAAGGGUGACAUUGGCAGUGCUGACCUUGUCAACUUCCUUCUCAUCACCGAAUCCAUUGACACAAUUAUGCACUUUGCUGCUCAGACACAUGUGGACAACUCCUUUGGUAACAGCUUUGAGUUUACCAAGAAUAAUAUCUAUGGUACCCAUGUACUUUUAGAAGCCUGCAAAGUCACUGGCCAGAUUAGGAGAUUCAUCCAUGUGAGCACAGAUGAAGUUUAUGGGGAGACAGAUGAGGAUGCUGUUGUAGGAAACCAUGAAGCUUCUCAACUCCUCCCAACAAAUCCAUACUCUGCAACAAAAGCUGGUGCAGAAAUGCUUGUUAUGGCGUAUGGUAGGUCCUAUGGGUUACCUGUCAUAACAACCCGUGGAAACAAUGUUUAUGGUCCCAAUCAGUUCCCUGAGAAAUUAAUUCCAAAGUUUAUCCUCUUGGCUAUGCAAGGGAAGCCUCUCCCAAUCCAUGGGGAUGGUUCUAACGUUAGGAGUUAUUUAUAUUGUGAGGAUGUUGCUGAGGCUUUUGAAGUCAUCCUUCACAAGGGAGAGGUGGGCCACGUUUACAAUAUUGGGACAAAGAAGGAAAGAAGAGUGAUAGAUGUGGCUAAAGAUAUAUGCAAGCUUUUCUCAAUGGACCCUGAGACAAACAUUAAGUUUGUAGAUAACAGGCCAUUCAAUGACCAGAGGUACUUUCUUGAUGAUCAGAAGCUGAAGAUCUUAGGAUGGUCAGAACGAACAAUUUGGGAGGAGGGCUUGAAGAAGACUAUGGAGUGGUACAUUCAGAAUCCUGAUUGGUGGGGUGAUGUAACUGGGGCGUUGCUUCCUCAUCCAAGAAUGCUGAUGAUGCCUGGUGGGAGACACUUCGAUGGUUCUGAAGAGAACAAAUCUGCAUCUUAUGCUUCAAAUAAUUCUAAUCAGACCCGAAUGGUCAUCCCAGUUUCUAGAACCAGCGGCAGUGGCUCCCCUCCAAAAUCCUCUCUUAAGUUCUUGAUCUAUGGCAGGACUGGAUGGAUCGGGGGUCUACUUGGGAAGUUGUGUGAGAAACAAGGGAUUCCCUAUGAAUAUGGAAGGGGACGCUUGGAAGAUCGAUCAUCGCUUUUGUCAGAUAUUCAGAAUGUUAGGCCAACCCAUGUUUUUAAUGCUGCUGGGGUUACUGGUAGACCUAAUGUUGAUUGGUGCGAAUCUCACAAGACAGAAACAAUUCGCACCAAUGUGGCUGGAACCUUAACAUUAGCAGAUGUUUGCAGAGAGCAUAACAUCCUGAUGGUGAAUUAUGCUACUGGCUGUAUAUUUGAGUAUGAUGCUACUCAUCCAGAGCAUUCUGGCAUUGGGUUUACUGAGGAAGACAAACCCAAUUUCACUGGUUCUUUUUAUUCAAAGACCAAGGCUAUGGUGGAGGAGCUCUUGAAAGAAUAUGACAAUGUAUGCACCCUCAGAGUUAGAAUGCCAAUAUCAUCAGAUCUAAACAACCCACGAAACUUUAUUACUAAGAUUUCUCGAUAUAACAAAGUGGUCAAUAUUCCAAACAGCAUGACUGUCUUGGAUGAACUUCUACCUAUUUCAAUUGAGAUGGCUAAGCGGAACUUGAGGGGUACAUGGAACUUCACAAACCCUGGUGUGGUGAGCCAUAAUGAGAUUUUGGAGAUGUACAAGAGUUACAUUAACCCCAACUUUACAUGGGUUAACUUCACACUGGAGGAGCAAGCUAAGGUGAUAGUGGCACCAAGAAGCAACAACGAGAUGGACGCAUCCAAGUUGAAAAAAGAGUUUCCGGAAUUGCUGUCAAUCAAGGAGUCUCUGGUCAAGUACGUUUUUGAACCAAAUAAGAAAGUUUGAAAUAAAGCGGCAUUUAUGGAUCCUACGUUGUAUGGCAAGUGAGUAUUGCUAGUGUUUCAAUUCUAUUAGUUAUUCACUGUUAGGUUUUCUGAUUGUUUCUACCAAUGAUAGAAAGUGAAGUAUUAGGCAUGCUUCUGUGAUUUCUUUACCUGAGUUGUAUUUUAGUGUCCUUGCAGUGUUCCUUCUCAGCAGUAGACUUUGAGUAGGUUCUUGAUAUGUGUCUCGAGUCCUACAAUUUAUUAGAUAUGUGGUUUAUUGUUUAAAUUCUUUGUUACUUAGCUUAGUUAACUUGUCUUGUUGUCCGUUGGAGUUGAAGGAAACAUUGAAUUCUUUAUCUUCCAAUUAUUGAAUUCCAAGUUUGUGCUUGG